GCUCCCUUGGUGUAAUCGGAUAGCGCCUCUGGCUUCUAACCAGAUAGAGAAGGUUCGAAUCCUUCAGGGAGUG
rnacentral:tRNA from 1 species